rnacentral:rRNA from 1 species
AGGGCAGCCAAGUCGUGAGGCGGAGCUAAUCCCUUAAAGCCAUUCUCAGUUCGGAUUGUAGGCUGAAACUCGCCUACAUGAAGCUGGAGUUACUAGUAAUCGCAGAUCAGAAUGCUGCGGUGAAUGCGUUCCCGGGUCUUGUACACACCGCCCGUCACACCACGGAAGUUGGGGGCGCCCGAAGCCACUUAGCUUAACCCUUUUGGGAAGCGAGUGUCGAAGGUGAAAUCAAUAUCUGGGGUGAAGUCGUAACAAGGUAAC